rnacentral:rRNA from 1 species
GGGCGUCUAUAAUGCAAGUCGAGCGAAUGGAUUAAGAGCUUGCUCUUAUGAAGUUAGCGGCGGACGGGUGAGUAACACGUGGGUAACCUGCCCAUAAGACUGGGAUAACUCCGGGAAACCGGGGCUAAUACCGGAUAACAUUUUGAACCGCAUGGUUCGAAAUUGAAAGGCGGCUUCGGCUGUCACUUAUGGAUGGACCCGCGUCGCAUUAGCUAGUUGGUGAGGUAACGGCUCACCAAGGCAACGAUGCGUAGCCGACCUGAGAGGGUGAUCGGCCACACUGGGACUGAGACACGGCCCAGACUCCUACGGGAGGCAGCAGUAGGGAAUCUUCCGCAAUGGACGAAAGUCUGACGGAGCAACGCCGCGUGAGUGAUGAAGGCUUUCGGGUCGUAAAACUCUGUUGUUAGGGAAGAACAAGUGCUAGUUGAAUAAGCUGGCACCUUGACGGUACCUAACCAGAAAGCCACGGCUAACUACGUGCCAGCAGCCGCGGUAAUACGUAGGUGGCAAGCGUUAUCCGGAAUUAUUGGGCGUAAA